rnacentral:rRNA from 1 species
AACGAACGCUGGCGGCAGGCUUAACACAUGCAAGUCGAACGCCCCGCAAGGGGAGUGGCAGACGGGUGAGUAACGCGUGGGAACGUACCUUUCAGUUCGGAAUAACUCAGGGAAACUUGUGCUAAUACCGGAUACGCCCGCAAGGGGAAAGAUUUAUCGCUGAAAGAUCGGCCCGCGUUGGAUUAGCUAGUUGGUGGGGUAAAGGCCUACCAGGCGACGAUCCAUAGCUGGUCUGAGAGGAUGAGCAGCCACACUGGGACUGAGACACGGCCCAGACUCCUACGGGAGGCAGCAGCGGGGAAUAUUGGACAAUGGGCGAAAGCCUGAUCCAGCCAUGCCGCGUGUGUGAUGAAGGCCUUAGGGUUGUAAAACACUUUCACCGAUGAAGAUAAUGACGGUAGUCGGAGAAGAAGCCCCGGCUAACUUCGUGCCAGCCGCCGCAGUAA